rnacentral:rRNA from 1 species
GGCGAACGGGUGAGUAACACGUGGGUGAUCUGCCCUGCACUUCGGGAUAAGCUUGGGAAACUGGGUCUAAUACCGGAUAGGAGCCAUCUUUAGUGUGGUGGUUGGAAAGUUUUUCGGUGUAGGAUGAGCUCGCGGCCUAUCAGCUUGUUGGUGGGGUAAUGGCCUACCAAGGCGGCGACGGGUAGCCGGCCUGAGAGGGUGUACGGCCACAUUGGGACUGAGAUACGGCCCAG